GGUUGCAGUGAGCCAAGACCAUGCCAUUGUACUCCAGUCUGGGUGACAGAGCAAGACCCCACCCAUCUUAAAAAAAAAAAAAAGAAAAAAAGAUUUAGCGUAUGUUAUUUCUCACUGGCUUCCCUCUCCCGAUGAGACCCGCCACCUUUCACACAGUCUCACACAGUUUAUACUUCUCCUUUAUACCACACAGCAUCGUGUAGUGGUUACAAGUGUGGACUCUGAAGUCGAAAUGCCUACAUUCAAAUCUUGGCUCUGCCACUCACUGGCUGUGUGCCAUUAGGAACAAGAAUAGACACACCCAGAUUGGAGGACAGUCCACAGGAUCCCUGGUCAAUGCUCACUCAAGACUGUCAAGGUCAUGGACAACAAAGAAAGACUGGCAAAACUGUCACAAGCUAAAGAAGACAGGGUGGAUAUGAUAACGAGAUGCACUGUGGUGUUCUGGAUUCGUCCUGGAACAAGAAAGAAACACCGAUUGAAAAGCUGAUGAAAUCCAAGUCAAGUCAGGAGGUUGAUUAGGAGUAAUGUACUCAUGUCGGUUUCUUGGUUGUAACGAAUGUAUCAUGAUAAUGUUAGGUUUUAACAAUGGGGGAAGUGGGGUGAGAGGUAUACUACCCUUGCAACGUUUCUGUAAAUCUAAAAAUAUUUCAAAAUUAAAAGUAUUUAAAAAGUA